rnacentral:rRNA from 1 species
CAGCCGCCGCGGGAAUACGAAGGGGGCUAGCGUUGCUCGGAAUCACUGGGCGUAAAGGGUGCGUAGGCGGGUUUUUAAGUCGGAGGUGAAAUCCUGGAGCUCAACUCCAGGACUGCCUUUGAUACUGGGAAUCUUGAGUAUGGAAGAGGUGAGUGGAACUGCGGGUGUAGAGGUGAAAUUCGUAGAUAUUCGCAAGAACACCAGUGGCGAAGGCGGCUCACUGGUCCAUAACUGACGCUGAGGCACGAAAGCGUGGGGAGCAAACAGGAUUAGAUACCCGUGUAGUCCCUGUCUCUUAUAC